AUUGAACGCUGGCGGCCGGCCUAACACAUGCAAGUCGAGCGAGCGGCGGACGGGUGAGUAAUGUAUGGGGACUGCCCGAUAGAGGGGGAUACAUACUGGAAACGGUGGCUAAUACCGCAUACUAUCGGAUAACCCAUAUGGGAUUAGCUAGUAGGUGGGGUAAAGGCUCACCUAGGCAACGAUCUCUAGCUGGUCUGAGAGGAUGAGCAGCCACACCGGAACUGAGACAAGGCCCCGACUCCUACGGAGACAGAAGUGGGGAAUAUUGCACAUUGGGCGCAAGCCUGAUGCAGCCAUGCCGCGUGUAUGAAGAAGGCCUUAGGGUUGUAAAGUACUUUCAGCGGGGAGGCGUUACCCGCAGAAGAAGCACCAGCUAACUCCGUGCCAGCCGCCGCGGUAAUAC
rnacentral:rRNA from 1 species